AUUGAACGCUGGCGGCAUGCUUUACACAUGCAAGUCGAACGGUAACAGGGUGCUUGCACCGCUGACGAGUGGCGAACGGGUGAGUAAUGCGUCGGAACGUGCCGAGUAGUGGGGGAUAACGCAGCGAAAGUUGUGCUAAUACCGCAUACGUACUGAGGUAGAAAGUGGGGGACCUUCGGGCCUCACGCUAUUCGAGCGGCCGACGUCUGAUUAGCUAGUAGGUGAGGUAAAGGCUCACCUAGGCGACGAUCAGUAGCGGGUCUGAGAGGAUGGCCCGCCACACUGGGACUGAGACACGGCCCAGACUCCUACGGGAGGCAGCAGUGGGGAAUUUUGGACAAUGGGCGAAAGCCUGAUCCAGCCAUGCCGCGUGUCUGAAGAAGGCCUUCGGGUUGUAAAGGACUUUUGUCAGGGAGGAAAUCCCUAGUGCUAAUAACACUGGGGGAUGACAGUACCUGAAGAAUAAGCACCGGCUAACUACGUGCCAGCCGCCGCGGUAA
rnacentral:rRNA from 1 species